rnacentral:rRNA from 1 species
UACGUAGGGUCCGAGCGUUGUCCGGAGUUACUGGGCGUAAAGCGCGCGCAGGCGGCCGUUCAAGUCUGGCGUGAAAGCCCCCGGCUCAACCGGGGAGGGUCGUCGGAGACUGGGCGGCUUGAGGGCGGCAGGGGUUGGUGGAAUUCCCGGUGUAGUGGUGAAAUGCGUAGAGAUCGGGAGGAACACCCGUGGCGAAGGCGGCCAACUGGGCCGACUCUGACGCUGAGGCGCGAAGGCGUGGGGAGCAAACAGG